rnacentral:rRNA from 1 species
CAGCAGCCGCGGUAAUACGUAGGGAGCAAGCGUUGUCCGGAAUCAUUGGGCGUAAAGCGCGCGUAGGUGGCCACAUAAGUCCGCUGUGAAAGUCAAAGGCUCAACCUUUGAAAGCCGGUGGAUACUGUGUGGCUAGAGUACGGAAGAGGCGAGUGGAAUUCCUGGUGUAGCGGUGGAAUGCGCAGAUAUCAGGAGGAACACCAAUAGCGAAGGCAGCUCGCUGGGACGUUACUGACACUGAGGCGCGAAAGCGUGGGGAGCGAACAGGAUUAGAUACCCUGGUAGUCCACGCCGUAAACGAUGGGUACUAGGUGUGGGAGGUGUCGACUCCUCCCGUGCCGUCGCUAACGCACUAAGUACCCCGCCUGGGGAGUACGGCCGCAAGGCUAAAACUCAAAG